rnacentral:rRNA from 1 species
CUUGCUCUCUGGAUCAGUGGCGAACGGGUGAGUAACACGUGAGCAAUCUGCCCCUGACUCUGGGAUAAGCGUUGGAAACGACGUCUAAUACCGGAUACGAGCUGCGAAGGCAUCUUCAGCAGCUGGAAAGAACUUCGGUCAAGGAUGAGCUCGCGGCCUAUCAGCUAGUUGGUGAGGUAAUGGCUCACCAAGGCGUCGACGGGUAGCCGGCCUGAGAGGGUGACCGGCCACACUGGGACUGAGACACGGCCCAGACUCCUACGGGAGGCAGCAGUGGGGAAUAUUGCACAAUGGGCGAAAGCCUGAUGCAGCAACGCCGCGUGAGGGACGACGGCCUUCGGGUUGUAAACCUCUUUUAGCAAGGAAGAAGCGAAAGUGACGGUACUUGCAGAAAAAGCGCCGGCUAACUACGUGCCAGCAGCCGCGGUAAUACGUAGGGCGCAAGCGUUAUCCGGAAUUAUUGGGCGUAAAGAGCUCGUAGGCGGUUUGUCGCGUCUGCUGUGAAAACCCGAGGCUCAACCUCGGGCCUGCAGUGGGUACGGGCAGACUAGAGUGCGGUAGGGGAGAUUGGAAUUCCUGGUGUAGCGGUGGAAUGCGCAGAUAUCAGGAGGAACACCGAUGGCGAAGGCAGAUCUCUGGGCCGUAACUGACGCUGAGGAGCGAAAGGGUGGGGAGCAAACAGGCUUAGAUACCCUGGUAGUCCACCCCGUAAACGUUGGGAACUAGUUGUGGGGUCCAUUCCACGGAUUCCGUGACGCAGCUAACGCAUUAAGUUCCCCGCCUGGGGAGUACGGCCGCAAGGCUAAAACUCAAAGGAAUUGACGGGGACCCGCACAAGCGGCGGAGCAUGCGGAUUAAUUCGAUGCAA